CAGUAGCCACGGGAAUACGUAGGGUGCAAGCGUUAAUCGGAAUUACUGGGCGUAAAGCGUGCGCAGGCGGUUUGUUAAGACAGAUGUGAAAUCCCCGGGCUCAACCUGGGAACUGCAUUUGUGACUGGCAAGCUAGAGUGUGGCAGAGGGGGGUGGAAUUCCGCGUGUAGCAGUGAAAUGCGUAGAUAUGCGGAGGAACACCGAUGGCGAAGGCAGCCCCCUGGGCCAACACUGACGCUCAUGCACGAAAGCGUGGGGAGCAAACAGGAUUAGAUACCCCUGUAGUCCCUGUCUCUUAUAC
rnacentral:rRNA from 1 species